UUCCCCCGCCAUCAGUUGUCUAGUCAUUAUGGCGGAAUGUAAAAAGUCUAUCUCAUGUCCGUCUCCAGCUUCAGAAAUGACCUCUCUCGCUAGAGCUUUGUCCCAUUCAAGGUUGAGUCAGUCUGUGUUCAAGUCGCAUACUUCUGUUUACCGGAGCAAUGUGGUACAGCCUGGCCGACGGAGGAGGUUGUCGAGCAGCAACAGUGUUGAGUCUCUGGACGUGAGCCCCAGUGCUGAAGCGCGAGUCUUGGUCAUCAACACCGGAGGAACUAUCGGGAUGAUGUACCAUAAUAACGUGCUGUGCCCAGAGCCUAAUGUCUUUGUGAAGGCCCUGCGAAAGCUUCCCAACCUCCAUGAUGAGCAGUAUGCCCUGCAGACCCGUAUGUACGACUACUACAGCACGAGUGGCCCACAGGAGAACACCCUUGUCCUGCCGAUGCCGACAGACCUCGCUGAUGAACUAUCAAAAAGGCUGUGCAAACAAAAUAAGAGGAUAGUGUACACUGUUUUAGAGUACAGCCCCUUGCUGGACUCUUGCAAUAUGACCACAGAUGACUGGGCUACAAUUGGGAAGGACAUUGAGAAACACUAUGAGAAGUAUGACGGUUUUGUCAUUCUCCACGGCACGGACACCAUGGCCUACACAGCAUCUGCUUUGUCCUUCAUGUGUGAGCAUCUGGGGAAGCCUGUCAUCCUCACCGGCUCCCAGGUGCCGAUCUAUGAGAUGAGGAACGAUGGAAGAGACAACCUGUUGGGGGCGCUGCUGAUCGCUGGUCAGUUUGUCAUUCCUGAGGUUUGUUUGUAUUUCCACCACAAGCUGUACCGGGGGAACCGUGUAACCAAGGUGGAUUCUGGGAGUUUCAAUGCCUUCAAUUCUCCUAACUUGGCUCCUCUGGCCAUUGCUGAAGUGGAUAUUAAAAUUAACUGGGACACGGUGUGGCGAGUGAACACAACCUCGCAGUUCAGAGUGAGCACUCUGAUGAACCGUAACGUGGGUCUGCUGAGACUCUUCCCAGGCAUCACUGCGAUGACCGUGAAGUCCUUCCUGCAGGCGCCCAUGGAGGGCAUUGUCCUGGAGACGUAUGGUAGUGGAAACGCCCCUGAUAACUGUGCUGACCUGCUUGAGGAGUUCCGAAAUGCCACAGAGAGGGGCGUGAUCAUGGUCAACUGCACCCAGUGUCUGAGGGGUUCUGUCACCACAUCGUACGCCACUGGAAAGGCCUUGAGUGACGCAGGACUGGUGGCAGGCUGUGACAUGACUCCUGAGGCUGCCCUGUGCAAGCUGUCCUAUGUGCUGGCCAGGACGGACCUCAGCAUAGAGGCCAAAAGAAAGAUGCUGAGUCAGAACCUGCGGGGAGAGAUGAUCGCUGAUCUGCAGGGGGCCAAGCUCACUCUGAGUGACAGUCGCUUCAUCCAGGUCAUCGCCAAGUCCCUGAGCAUCAGCUGUAAGGAGGAGCUAGAAGCCGUCCGGGAUGCUCUGACACCCACCUUAGCUUGUGCCGCUUCUAAGAUAGGAGACUUGGAGGCCUUGGAUGCCAUAAAGGAGAUGGGCAGUAACUUAAGUCUGGGGGACUAUGAUGGACGUACCCCUCUGCACAUCGCUUCCUGUGAGGGCCACCUCAAUGUGGUGCAGUAUCUACUGAGCCAGGGCGCCACUGUCUACGCCAAAGAUCGCUAUGGGGACACACCCCUGCGCAAUGCUGUGCGCUUCAGACACAAAGAGGUGGUGAAGCUGCUGAGAAAGACUGGAGCUCAUUUCUCCAGGGAUGAGUUGGAGGAUGCCGGCUCAGAGCUGUGCAGUCUGGCAGCCAGUGCUGACAUCAAGGGCCUGGAGAUGUGGCACCUGGCCGGGGGAGACCUGGACAUGCCAGGCUACGACGGGCAGACGCCGAUGGAGGUGGCUAAGGCUGUGGGGAAUGAUGUUGUGAUUGACUUCAUACACCAGGUCAGCCAGUCCCACGCCCAGGUAAGAGAUGGACUAUGAUCUAGCGUUACUGUUCUCCUCUGUGCUCCUCCAACAGCAUUCAUCUCUGCUUCAAUUAAGAGAGCUUAGCUCUCCGACCUGAGCUCACUGAAAUCAAACGAAGUGAAUAAUAUUUUACUGUACCGGUCUUUGUCAGUUUAUAUUGUCUGACGAACCUAAACCAGUUCAGCACACUGUAUUAUCCACUUUUUUUCUAUCUUCAUUUUACUUUUCAACACGAGAAUUAGUCUCAUCUCAUCCCUGUAUAUUAAUAGAUUUGACCAAGUUUAGCAAUAUAUUUACGACAACUAAAACAUUACUACGAUCCAUGAUUGUGAAUGAAUGGUGUGGCAUGAAGCAUCCAAGAGGUAUUUGACAUAUAGGCUAGAAAACCAUGUAGGCUACAGAAUAGGGAUGUAGGUUCAUUCAUUACAUGUUGUUUUGCUUACUUCCAGCCUCUGUUUAAAGAUUACAUUUACAUUUACAUUUAAGUCAUUUAGCAGACGCUCUUAUCCAGAGCGACUUACAAAUUGGUGCAUUCACCUUAUGACCUCCAGUGGAACAGUAGUGCAUCUAAAUCUUUUCAGGGGGAGGGGGGGUGAGAGGGAUUACUUUAUCCUAUCCUAGGUAUUCCUUAAAGAGGUGGGGUUUCAGGUGUCUCCGGAAGGUGGUGCUAAAGAUGAUGCUGAGAAUGAAGAAUACAUUGAGUUCUCAGCCUGUCCAAAAGAAUCCUGAGGACGAAGAUCCUCAACUCUUUUACCUCUCCAUCCAUCCCCAUCACUCUCCCUCUCUCUUUCCAUUUCACUCUCUUACACUGGACAUUUGCACAAGCUUGCAGAUUUGAUUUAGAUUCAGCCAAACCAUUUUACAAUUGAUAUGUUUGCGAUAAUCUCAUUUACUGUUGCUUAACUGUAGUUGUAAAAGCACUAGUAGCACAACAUUGGAUGUCAAGUCAUAUGGAUGCACUGUGCCUAGAACGGGCAGCACUAUAUCUGUUUGCUUUGUAUGUACCACAGUAUAUGAUGCAUGUGGAGCAAUUCACUCGGUUUGCAUUAAGAGUAUUAUCAGUGAUCAUUGGAAGCACAGGGUAGAAUGCUGUACUUUAUGCUAGGCACUUGAUGGGUAGAAUGCUGUACUUUAUGCUAGGCACUUGAUGGGUAGAAUGCUGUACUUUAUGCUAGGCACUUGAUGGGUAGAAUGCUGUACUUUAUGCUAGGCACUUGAUGGGUAGAAUGCUGUACUUUAUGCUAGGCACUUGAUGGGUAGAAUGCUGUACUUUAUGCUAGGCACUUGAUGGGUAGAAUGCUGUACUUUAUGCUAGGCACUUGAUGGGUAGAAUGUGGUGCCUUUAGAUGUACUUUAUGAAAUGCUUAGUAUAGAGUGCAAUUUAUUCUAAACUGAAAUCCUUGUGAAAUCCUUCUAAACUGAAAUCAUGGUCUGAUGACACAAAAAUAGAACCGUUUGCCCAUAAUGACCAUCGUUAUGUUUGGAGGAAAAAGGGCGAUGCUUGCAAGCCGAAGAACACCAUCCCAACCGCGAAGCACGCGGGUGGCAGCAUCAGGUUGUGGGGGUGCUUUGCUGCAGGAGGGACUGGUGCGCUUCACAAAAUAAAUGGCAUCAUGAGGAUGGAAAAUUAUGUGGAUAUAUUGAAGCAACAUCUCAAGACAUCAGUCAGGAAGUUAAAGCUUGGUCGUAAAUGAGUCUUCCAAAUGGACAAUGACCCCAAGCAUACUUCCAAAGUUGUGGAAAAAUGGAUUAAGGACAACAAAGUCAAGGUAUUGGAGUGGCUAUCCUAACUGACCUAAAACAGGGAAUUUAAUGAUUAAAUGUCAGGAAUGGUAAAAAACAGAGUUUAAAUGUAUUUGGCUAAGGUGUAUGUAAACUUCCGACUUCAACUGUAUAUAUAUUUUGG